rnacentral:lncRNA from 1 species
UUUCUUCUUCAAAUUUCAUUGCAUGCAUAUGACUUGAAGUAGAUUGAAAUUGACUAUGAACAUGACUUAGAUUUGUAAAUGGCAUGACUUAGAUUUGUAAAUGGAAUGAGCAUAUUAACAUGGUUUAUGAACAUAGCUAUGACUUGGUGAAACAAGGCUAAGGUCAAGAUACAAUAGGCUUGAUUGUUUGGAUAGACAAGGCCAAGGCUAAGGUCAAGAUACAAUAGGCUUGAUUGUUUGGAUAGACAAGGCCAUGAAUGCACCAACAAUCCAUGGACAAAACAAAAUAUUGAGACCAAGAUUGAUUAGACUUAUAAGAAUAACAAAAAUAUAUUUUUUUUUGUUAGUUGAUAAGUAUCAUUAACUUUAUUAAAUAUUUUUUUUUUAUUUUGGAAAUUCAUAAUGUUGAAUAAAUUGUUAUAAGUUGAUAAGCAUAAAAUAAUUUCAAAAUUUUGCAAGUGACUUAUUAAAACAAUUCAAUUAGUAAAAACAAUAAAUUAUUAAAAUUAUUAAAAGAGGUUCUUUAGUAUAUUUAUAUUUCCACAACCACAACAAUAAAGUGUGUUAUUCAAAAUAACUUAUAUUUUGCUUUGUGAUCAAAAUUAAAAAUUAAUGUCAAAACUUUUGUUUUUCUUCUUCUCUUCAUUUCUCUCUAUAAUUAAUUUUAUUUCAUUAUUACAGUGUUUUCUUCUCUUCAUUUCUCUUUAUAAUUAAUUUUAUUUCAUUAUUAUAGUGUUGGGAGUCUUCCGUUUCAAAUAAUAAUAUUUUAACCUAAUUAUUUAUCAUGUCAAUAUAAAUUUUUUAUUUUAUUUGUCAUAUUCUCUUUACUACUUACACUAUCAAAUGAAUCAUUUUAUAUUUUAUUAAUUUGAGAUUUUAAAUAUUUAUUACAUUUUAAAUUUGAUUUUUAAUCAAUUUAGAAAUCUAGAUUUCAAACUUUUUUAUAAAUAUUUAGAAUUUAAAAUUGAUUUAAAAUAAAAUUUAACAUUGAUUAAAUCUAGAUUUCAUUCUUUUUUUAUAAAUAUUUAGAUUUUAAAAAUGAUUUAAAAUAAAAUUUAAAAUUGAUUAAAUCAAUAAAAUCUUAAAUUGAUUUUUAAAAUAAAAAACAAAUUUUGAAAUAGAUGAUAUUGGUUUAAAAUUAAAAUUAAAAUUUUAUUAAAACAAAACUAUUUCAAUUUUUUUUAAAAUAAAAUAUAUCAAAUUUCAUAUUAAUUUAAAAUAAAAAUAGAAUUUCAAAUUUCCGUUAGGAAAAUAUUUUUUUGUAAAGAUGAUUCAAAACGUAACUUUGUCUCAUAUUUAGAGAGACUUCAACUUAGCGUUGUUAGACAAAUGGACGUGGAAACUAAUAAGCGAAACGAAGAAGUGACGGCUUGGAAGCAAUUGAGAACCAUAUCAGUGUUUGAAUCCACUGUGUGCGACUGUUAAAUAGGAGAAACGCUUCAAAAGUAAAAUGAAAAUGAAAAAGAAAAACAAAAAAUGUUGCAGUACUAAAGGGCCUGAAAGAUCAGAUUGAAAUCAAAAUCAGACGAGUGAGCCUGCAUCGAAAUUGAUAUUCGCAAGUAUAUAAAUAUAAUUGAUUGAACCGUAGAAUCAACAGAGUUCAAUCAAGAAGCUGACUUGCGAUUCAAAUGAAAAAUUUUGUGAAAUUUCAGAAAGAAAGAAAGAAAAAUAUGAGAAAAUAAUCAAUCAUAGAAGAAUGCGUAUAUAGAUGCUAUAUCAAUGAAAAUUGAAUUAAAAACUUCGAAAUUAAAAACAGAAAAAAUAAAAGGAACACGAGAUUGGUAUUUUCAGAGAGAAUAGCAUGUGGUGCUUAUAAAGGGAAUGAAGGAAGCCGUUAGGGUUUUUGUUCACACAAUCUGUGUAACCAGAGAUAUGGAUCGGGUCUUCCUGGAUCUACUAGGUAAUUAACCCAGGCCCAUUUUUUAGCCCAAUUUUGUUUUAGGAAAAUUGUGUUUUAAACUAUUUUCAAAAGUGGACAUUCA